rnacentral:rRNA from 1 species
UACAGAGGUCCCAAGCGUUGUUCGGAUUCAUUGGGCGUAAAGGGUGCGUAGGCGGCGCGGUAAGUCGGGUGUGAAAUCUCGGGGCUUAACUCCGAAACUGCAUUCGAUACUGCCGUGCUUGAGGACUGGAGAGGAGACUGGAAUUUACGGUGUAGCGGUGAAAUGCGUAGAUAUCGUAAGGAAGACCAGUGGCGAAGGCGGGUCUCUGGACAGUUCCUGACGCUGAGGCACGAAGGUCAGGGGGAGCAAAACGGG